AGGAGGAACAGCCCCAGUGGCGGGGCAGCUCUGGAAACCUGGAUUCAGCCCCCGCAGGAACUCCGGAGCUCUCUGUCUGCAGGGCCUGGAGGCUCCGGGGCGGG
rnacentral:pre_miRNA from 1 species